GAGAGAGAGAGAGAGAGAGAGAGAGAGACUCUUGCAGGCACAGAGGAAGGAGAUGGAGAGUAAACAAUGGGAGAUGGAUGAGAAAAAACAGCAACUGGAAUUACAAACAGUUACGGAAGCAGAAAUAGAGGAAAAACUCAAAGAAAUGGAGAGAAUGAUGACAAAAACAGGCAGAUUGAAAUGGAGGAGGAAAAACAAGGAGACAUUGAUAGACUGAUGGACACCCAAAGAGAGAAUAAUGAAAAGAGACAAAGAGAGAUGGAGAAGAUAAAGUUGCACAAAGAGAGAAAAGAAGAAGAGGAGGAGAGACUGAGGCAACGCCAUAAUGAAGACAGGCAAAGUUACAGAGAGCUGUAGAAGCAAAGAUGGAGGAAAAACUCAAGGAAAUGGAAAGAAAGGUAAAAGAGAGAAACAACACAGAGCUUAAACAGACAGAGGAAAAAGGAGAAGGGUAGCCCAGCUAAAGGAAGAUGAGUGGAAAGAGAGAUGCAGGGAGAGGAGGCAGAAAUGAGCGAGGAAGAGAGAUUGAGAGAGGAAGAAAGAGAAAAACAUCAAACGCAGCUUCAAAUUGAAGAGGGGAAACAGAGAGAGAAAAAGACUCCUGGAGGUCCAGAGAAGGGAGAUGGAAGAUAGACAAAGAGAGAUAGACAAGAGAAAGUUGGAGAUGGAAGAUAGACAAAGAGAGAUAGACAAGAGAAAGUUGGAGAUGGAAAGGAAAUAACUGGAAAGACAGAAGGAGGCGCAGAAAGAAAAGAGAGAGAUAAAUAGACAAAAACGAAGCGAGACAAAAAUAAACUCAGAGUUGGUAAGAAAAGAGGACGAAGCAAGAAAGACAGAAAUGGACGAGAGACAAGGUGAGAGAAAGAGACACAUACAAAGAGAGAAGGAUAAGAACCCAACUGAGAUUCUGGGAAAUAUGGAAAGGCCAGAGGGGGAGAUGGAGAUGGGGAAAGAGCUUCAAAUGCAGGGAGAAGUCAGAUAAACAAACCUGGAAAUUAUGAGACAAAAGGAAGAAGCAAGAAAUCAUGAAACGUAUGAAUGAGAGGCUCUGAUGCAGGAAGAGUCUGAGGACCGACAGGAAGAAAGCCAGCAAAAACGCAUAGAGAUCGAUGGAAUGAAGGGAAAAAGGGGAGACUCAGAAAAAGAUGGGACAGGCUGAGAAUGGUAAAGAAAUGCAUGUCGAGAAAAUCAAAGUGGAGACGGUGGCAGAUGCAAAAGAGGGGGAGACCAAUGAAACAGACAUGGAAAUGAGCCCCGAGGACGUUAAUACCAGACAGCAUCAGAAAUCGAGAUUUGACAUCAUUGUAGAACAAGAGAGGGAGAGAAAGAGAGAGCAGAAGAGAAAGGUAGAAGAGAAACAGAAGGAGGAGCAGAGAAAAGGGAGAAGAGAAGAGAAAGCAGGAUGAAGAAGUAAGAUACUGGUAUGAACAUCCAGAGGAAUGGCGCAAGCACCAAGAAGAGCUGACCUUCAAGAAAGAGGAAGAACGACGACUAGAGCUGGAGAAAAAGUAGGAAGAAGAGGCAAGGAGACUUGCAGAAAUAAACAAAAAGGAGAAGAUAUACGAGCAGAUGGGAAGCUGUCAGAGAUGGAGACAGAAGUUCAGGUAGAGCACCAACAUGAAACUAGUGCACAGGAAAUCAAUUCUGGACAGCCUUGCAGAUAAAAUUCACAACUACUUCUGGAGAAAGAGAGGGAGAAAAAGAGAGACGCAAGGAGAAAUGCAGAUGAGAGGCAGAGAAAGUCACAAGAGGCAUGGAAAGAUGAGCUUAAAAGGAGAGAAGAGAAGAGAGAGCAGGAUGAGAAAGCAAGAUACUGGUCUGAACACCCAGAGGAAUGGCGCAAACUCCAGGAAGAGCUGGCCAUUAAGAAAGAGGACAAACGACGACUAGAACUGGAGAAAAAAUGGGAAGAAGAGGCAAAGAGGAUAGAAGAGAGAAAGAGAAGAGAGCAGGAAACUGAGGAUGAAAUGAGACGUGAGAGGGAAAGGCAGCGAGAAAUUGAUCUACAGAAGGGGAGAGAGAAACAGAAGGAGACUGAAAUGCAACGCCAGUUGGAAAAACAGACAGAACUGGAGAGAGAAAGGGAGGUGGAGAGAGAGAGAGAGCUGGAAAAGGAAAGAGAGAGAGAACAGGAAAGACAGAAAGAGAGAGAGAACAGGAAAUUCAGAGACAGAGAGAAGAAAAAAAGGAGACAAGAGGAAGAAACUGAGGGACAAGCAGAGAUGGAACAACAGGAGGAAGAUGAAGAUGAUGAAGAUCAUCAAACCGAGAAUGGGACAGAUGGUCCGGUGGCCCAGGAUAAGAGUGUAAGAAGGGGGUUCCUUGGAUGGGUCAAUGAAAAGGUGAGAGAGAGAAAGCAGAGAAAAAUUGAAAAGACUAUCAAGAGGGAAAAGGAGGAAGGUAAUACGUAUUACUGGGAACCUCUCAGGGGUUACACAUCCCGGGCCCAGCGAGAACAGGAGAAGCGCAGGAGCCUACUGAAGGCAGAGGCAACCAGACAAAAACUACAAUCAUCCUGGCUUGAGUGGGAACCCAAAAAGAAAGAGAAAAAGUUACAGAGGAAAUCCCAACAUUCUGCAGCAAAAUGAAAAAGGUGAUAGGAACCUGGAUCUUUACAAUGGUGUUCAGAUUUACACCACCGGCCAUAAACAUCAUUGGCUGGGAUAGUAGCAGCAGCAGGAGUGAAUUAUUCAGAACAUUAAAAAAAUAACAAAA